UAUACAGUUCGAAGUCCAAAUGAUUUACAAUUUAAAUCAGCUCAUUCUCUAAAAAUCCUACAAAAGAUUUUUGGAAUCAAGAGAUGUUCCUCAAUCAGCUUAUGAUGUCUCAACCAUAGACUGUAAAAAAAGAUGGAUGACGCAUCUCCACUUCCUUCCACUACGGAAAAGUGAAGCCAAAGCAUCCUAGUAUGGCCACUGCCAUCUUGAGUAAAUGACCUCAUUUGGAGCCAGAGUCUGCGCAGUAGAGAUUUGUUUGGGGCCAGAGUCUGCACAGUAGAGAUUCGUUUGGAGUCAGAGUCUGCGCAGUAGAGGUUCGUUUGGGGCCAGAUACUGCGCAGUAGAGAUUCGUUUGGAGUCAGAGUCUGCGCAGUAGAGGUUCGUUUGGGGCCAGAGUCUGCGCAGUAGAGAUUUGUUUGGAGUCAGAGUCUGCGCAGUAGAGAUUCGUUUGGAGUCAGAGUCUGCGCAGUAGAGGUUCGUUUGGAGUCAGAGUCUGCGCAGUAGAGAUUCGUUUGGAGUCAGAGUCUGCACAGUAGAGAUUCGUUUGGAGUCAGAGUCUGCGCAGUAGAGAUUUGUUUGGAGUCAGAGUCUGCGCAGUAGAGAUUCGUUUGGAGUCAGAGUCUGUGCAGUAGUGUCGUGGUAUGGAGCCACGGAAUCAAACUCCUGCAGCGCAGACCCAAUAAACCAUGCCCCUUGAACUUAUCAUUUGACUGGCGAAUACCGAAGGCCUGCUAAAACAACGUAAAUACAACAAAUAAUGACUUAAAUUUUAAAACACACAAUAAUAUACUAUAUAUUGAAAAAAAUUGUGGCUAUUUUUAAAAUUAUUUAAAAUGAACAACUAGUCUACCACAAUGUGCGGGACAGCAAAAUCAAUGAUCUUUAGUUUAAUAUGCCACUAGAAACAGCUCUAAAAUGGUCCUGCCGUUACAGGAGAACGACUGCUGUAGACUGUAUUCUAUAAUUAAUUAGAGUUAGUUGGCUAUCAUUAGUUUUGUUUUCCUAAAUAUAAUUUUAAACCCAUAAAAAGAAUUAGUAACUUACAAAUAACGAUUACCUGCUUUUUACCAUCAUGGCUAAUCGUUAGGCGUGUUAUCUUAUCUAAUAACAUUUAUUAGUUAGCUUAUAAAACCCACAUUUAACAUUACAGAAAAAAACUCAGUGAUCCAUCAGAUCUAGUAGGUCGGUUAGUACAGUUUACUGCUAAACAACUCAUUUUGUUGAGAUAACAGAAAUCGAAAAUGAAUAGCUGGUUAUAUCUUCAAUCUCCUUUCGAAGCUCUGACAGUCUGCUCAGAGAAGCUGUCAAUCACAGUUGUAAAUCAUAACACCCCGUACCGUUUUUACAGCAUCAAAUUACUAGCUAAAAUCAAACAUCACAAAAAUAAACAAUUUAACAUAUAUGACAACUACCUUAAAUGACCAAAACCAUCUUUCAGAAAAUUUUAUUGGAAGUUUUAUUUUAUUUUUUUAUUUUUUACUCAAGUCCCCAUAGUUUACAUGGAGAGGGCGGGGUUUAUGACCUGUACUGGAGCCAGCCACCAGGGGGCGAUCAAAGAGAUCAACAGAUUUUAAUGGCAGAGUAACAAUGGGACAGUAGUUAUUUUUGGACACGUUUGACAUAAAAAUAUCCUAUUAUGUAAAGAGCCACUUUGAAAAAGUAGUCACUCAGUAGCUGAGCGAUACAGAAAUCAUAAAAAGGCCUUUUGUUUUUACUCACAAUAUUAUUAAAGAUCCACUCCCAUUGUCCCGGCCACCGCCACAUUCACAUUCUUCCAGAAGCUCCCGUCUGCUGCUUCUGCAAUUUUCCAGGAAGCCUGUCUAGAUCUGUUUGUAAUAUGAUGAAUUUGGAAUGUGCACC